rnacentral:ncRNA from 1 species
UCCGAUAAGGGCAAACCUGUCGAAAGGCAGGGGCGCAAAGCUACGGGCCUAAAGUUUUGUCAUCCAUGGCCGCCGGGCUGCCGCAG